rnacentral:rRNA from 1 species
AUUGAACGCUGGCGGCAGGCCUAACACAUGCAAGUCGAGCGAGCGGCGGACGGGUGAGUAAUGUCUGGGAAACUGCCUGAUGGAGGGGGAUAACUACUGGAAACGGUAGCUAAUACCGCAUACCAUCAGAUGUGCCCAGAUGGGAUUAGCUAGUAGGGGGGGUAAUGGCUCACCUAGGGGACGCUCCCUAGCUGGUCUGAGAGGAUGACACGCGACCCUGGAACUGAGACACGGUCCAGACUCCUACGGGUGGCAGCAGUGGGUAAUAUUGCACGAUGGGCGCAAGCCUGAUGCAGCCAUGCCGCGUGUGUGAAGAAGGCCUUCGGGUUGUAAAGCACUGUCGGCGGGGAGGCGUUACCCGCAGAAGAAGCACCGGCUAACUCCGUGCCAGCAGCCGCGGUAAUUC